GAAGAUGGGUGAUGAAAGUGGAAAGUCUAAUCAGUCAGCCGAUGACCAGUGGGAAAAAUGAGCUACAAGAUCACCUGAUCUUCAUCAGUGAGAAAGCUUUGCACAAGAGUAUACUGAUGGGAUUCGGUUUGAUGGAAAUAUACUCUCAAGAAAAAUUAAUAAAACCAGUGCUUCUUACGGACCAUCAGGAUGAAGUACCAAGUUCAAGGACAGUUCUGCAAGAACUGCUCAAAGCCAGCCAAGUGGAACAAGAAGAAAGCCAAGCAGAAGUCAUUCAUUCCCAGCACCCUCAGCACCUUUCUCCAGGACAGGGUCACUCAGCUUUGGUAGAAGAAGGGAUGACCUGAGAUAGCUGCCACAUAUUCCCUCAGAAAAGAAGCAGCCAGCAAUAUUGGGGAAAGAAUAUAGGUGUCAGGGGGCAGAAAGCAGAGUGUAAAGUGAAUAAAUAAAAAGAUAUCAAUAAAAAAUAUUUAAUUAUUUAAAAAAAUUGGACAGAAUGUAUUGUUCUAGUAACUCUACUGUGUAUACACAGGCAAUAACUUUAACACCCAGAGAGAAUAGAUGUUGUAAAGUAGGGUGCCUUUGGUAUUGACAUAAACUAGGAACAUAGCAAAGAUAAAUAAAAAAGAAAGAUGUUUGUCCCAUAGAUCCAUUAUUCUCCUCAAGUCGAAGUGUUUGUGCUCACUUUUACCAGAACUCUGGAAACCUCUGUUAAUCCAGGUCUCAGGGCUCAUCCAAAGUACAGUCCUGAACUGGCUGUGGCCAAGGGUUCCUGUGUUGUUGGCUGACCUCUGCCUCAGGCUUCAGAGGCACUGGAGGGGCAGUUUUGGCCUUCAGGUGGCAGCCAUUCCAGGUCCCCUACCAUACCAGAUAGCGAGUCUUCCACAGAUGCCUGACAUCUCAAAAAUAGAAGCUUGGGUAUUUCAAAGAUUGGGAUGCCACUCUACAGUCAUGAUGAGUUGAUUACGUGAGACCGUACAAGUUAACUAAUGUCUGUAUGACUGUUUUCUUUAUUUGAAAGUGAGUAAUGAGAUCAUCUCAGGAGUGGUUGCUAAGAAUAAAAUCACUGAUUAACAUAAAUGAUAGGACUGUACAGAGCAUGGGCUUAAUAUUCUGGGUCCAGUGCAAAUAGCUGGGAGAGUUCAAAACAAAACCAAUAAAAGCAACAGGAAUACAAACAACAACAAUUGUUUAAAACCCUUUUGAGUGCUGAGAUUACUGGCAUGUACCAACUGUGGCUAACUUUUUUUGUUUUUAUAAUUAACAACCAAACAUACAAACAAACAAACAUCCCUAUUCCAAUUCCAGCAGUUUGCAUCAGAGAGAGCUGUGUGACACUGCAUGCUGCUUCCUUUCCUCAGAUAGCUCAGGUCGUCAGUCCUAUACCAGGUCAGCUGGACCUAAGACAGUGUAGUUGAACUACUUGCUGUCACGACAUGAUUCUACAACAAUCCUUUUCUUGGUAAAAUUGAGCCUCUAUAGAGUAAGCCCCAUGUUGUUGGAACCAGGACCCUUUAGGCCAGCAAACACACAAGCCACCCUUAGUGAAAGAGAAAAGGAAAAAUCACAUUGGAAAAAAAUAUGCGCCCUAAUUGUAAGAAAAAGCCCUCAUCUUUGAAGCCAUCACCUAUCUCCCCCUGAUUUUUGAGCUCUGCAUAUUGAUAUUGUGUGGCUCAAGAAGGUAGUGAAAUUCAGAUGUUUUCUGAAAGAAGAUAUACAUGAUUUUUCACUCUUAAAUCUGUGAGGUUAGGGGGCACAGGUUCAGCAAAGCCAGCAUAAGAACACAAAAGCCAGAGAUGAUAAUGCCAAAGGGACAGCAUCCUGACCUUAUAGACACAUUAAAAUUGAGGUUUCAUCUCAAUUCAGGUCAUUGCACUCCCAGCCCUACCUUCUGAGUAUUAUAUUUGCUGUGAGUACAGUAUGACGUUACAACCUGCAACACCCUCAUUUCUCAACUUAGCAAUUCUGGAAGACAGAUAUUGGAGAAGUAAUUGCUAUGAGGCUACAAUGCAGUAAUGUACAGUCCAGGAUGACCACUACUCUCUGUUGCCCACUUAAAUUGUCUGGUUGUAUUUGAGAAUGGGAGCAUGUGCAGGAUAAUGUUUUGAAGAAGGGACAGCAAGUUUGUAAAAGAUAGGGUUGUAAACCAGAGAUUUUGUGAAACUCAUGUAUAUAUAUAUGAAAAAAUGCCCUCUGUCAAGGAAUACACCGUUAGAAAAUAUUGUCCAUGUUUUGUACAAUUAAACCUAUAGGAGAAAGAUAUUUGCCUCUGUGAGACAGGAAAACCCUGGGAAAUUGGAGUGUAUGUCACAUGAAUUGACACAGCUGGUAUAUUUACUGUUGUGAAACAUCUACUACAUCCACAGUCCCUAGAGUUUUGGGUGCCAACAAAAUCUCUUAAGCAUGUCAGAGUCCUAACCAACGUUCCCCCUAAAAAGCACAUGACAUCUAAUGAAGCAGUAGAAUUCUCCAGCUUUGGAAGGAGAGGUUGCCAAAGGGGAUCCCACGGGUCCAUGAGAGGCUCCAGGAGAGGCACCCCAGAAAAGGACCAAGCUGGGCAGAACUAGUUAACAGGUAGGUCAUGGCAGUUGCUAGUGACAUCAUCAGUAAUGCCUUCCUGGGAGAAUCUCUUGUAUCUAGGAUAGAACUAGAAUCUUCUGUGUUGUCACCUGUGUUGUGGUGACAGCAACUGCCUGUGGUUCAUCCCUUCUGUUUGCUCUGGGUUCACCAGCAGGAAUGUUUUCCUGGCUGCUCAGGCUAUUUCAGAAAGAGAAUGGCGAUGAAGGAGUGACCAGACCAACAGAGAAGGAAGAGGGAAUCCUUUCUCAUGAAAAAGGAAGAAGGAAAUGGUUAUGGAGAAGGCACAGUGAGUCCUGGGCAGAGUUGGGGAAAUUCCUGGUAGAGGUAGGCUUGAGCUGGGACUUCCAGGAGUAGGUCUUACAAGCUGAAGCCUUGGACUUUGUCAAUGUCAGACAAAGAGUCAAGAAUUUCUGAUGAUUAGUUUGACAGAGCCAGGAAUUGACAAACCUGCAGCUACUUUUCUGGGAGCUAUUUAAUUUCAUUUUGAGUGGCAAAAAAUGUCAGGAGUGGGCACUAUGAGAAUAACAGUGUGUCCUUUCAUGGAAGGGAGUUGAAGCACUUCAUCUUCCAGAUUACUGUAGGUAACUUGAGUCUCUGAUGAAAAGAACAGAGAAGGAUGCUCCCCUGGUCAUGUCAUGUGGUGAGGACUCAGACACUUUGGAUUUGAAGACACACGAUUAAUUAGUGCUUGAUAGUGCUAAGCACUAUGAACUUCAGGAUUUCCCUGCGUCCCAUCUGAUAUGACCUGACAAUGUUCCCCAUAUCUUUAUGUCUGAGGCAGCUUAUACAUUUCAAGGCAACCGGGCCUGUAACAGGGAGUGUGGCAUAUGUCUGACAAUGGUGGUUAGGAAGAGGAACAUAGCUUAGCAAACCAGCUGGAAGAUAGCUUUUCUGCUCUUUUAGGAAUUCACUGUCUUUAUCUUUUCUCUCCCUCCAUCUUCUUCUUGGGACUCAGAAUGGUCUCCCCUGCCCCUGGGCCAUCAAGUAUGCAAAUUCUUUUGUGUUUACCUAUCUGCAGGGUCUGCUAGAAAUACUUCAACCCAAAAUUCCAAAAUGACUAAGAAGAGAUCAAAAAUAAAUGAACUAGAAGAACUGAAAUUGGAUAUGAGGAAGAUCAGCAAUGACAUGGAGGAAAUGUGUGGAAUCCUGAACCUUUACAUGUAUGAGGAUUUGAACUACAGGAUGAACACUGAAUUCAACAUCAUUAAAUCACAACAUGAGAAGACAAUGUUGGAUAUGAAUAAAAUGAUCCAGUCCAUAAUUGGUUCCAUGCAGUACUCCAAGGAACUGAUAGAAGAUAACUAUUCCUACAGCAUUAAGGAGGACCACCUCCUCCGUGAGUGCACUCAACUCCACGAAAACGUAAGGAUAUUACUGAAUGAGAACAGAAGGCUGCUGGUGGAGCAGGCUGGCCACAAGUGUCCUGUGGGGAAGAAAAGAGGUUCUCUGAGGAGGCCAGCAAGAACAUCUGUGUCCCAAGUGCCAAGGAACACCAGUGUGAAAUAGUCCAGCAGAAAGCAGAACAUGGCACAGACCAGGACAUGAUCUCCCUCAAAGAGAAGUGCUGGAGGAAGAGCACUGAGUGUGCACAGGAAAUACACCACUGUUGCCUCUCAUCCCUAAUAACCAUGGCUGUAAUGGGCUGUAUGCUCCUCCUUUAUUUUGUUUCUUUGGUAUGAACAGGCCUUAAUUUCAUCUAGCCUCUGGCCCAGGAAGAGUGCACAUUUAAAGGGACUCAGAGAAAUGCUGAGACACAUCAAGAGCUGCUGGGCAUCCAGGAAGAAUCUGAGUGCAAAUUUCUCUUUUCCUGAUGGGUCAUCAUCAAUAAUUACAUGGAGAUCAGUCAACAAAAUUGUAAAUCCUUGGAUCCAAGUUUACAACAUGUGUUCUGCUUUGACUUGGGAGGCCAUAUCCUUCAGACCCACACUCCAAAAGGAGAGUGUUGCUUAAAUUUCUCCUGCAAAGUUUGCUACCUCCAGGAACUGCUUUUCUACUAAGUUGCCAAGGACAGCCACAGGCUGUAAGGCUGUGCUACAAAAUGAGCAGACUAAGAAUUUUGCUGUGCACAAUUUUUGUGGUUUGAUUUUGGUUUGAGUUUUGAUUAGUUUAGGUAUUUGGUUUUUCUUGUUUUCAUUCAAAGUUUUGUUAUUUAUUGGUUAUUUAUUGUUCUUUUAAGUAAUUUGAUAUUUUGAUAAGGUUAUACACAGUACAUAUUGACUGUCAGCUUUCAGUUACAAUUGAGUACAUUGCAUUUAUUCUUAUGACUAACACAGUGAUCUCCAAGUCUUCACUCUAAGAGCCUUGUUAUUUCAGGUGUGAUCAUGAAAGCCCACAGAUAUCAGACCCAGAUGGAUCUCUGCACUCUUCAUGGGACUUGGGCUCCAUAGUUUCUUCUGAGCCAGACUGAACUACAAAGUCCUUCAUACAUUCAGUAUGGAGAGUAUGUCCAACUGCCUGGAUAGGAACUUAAUGAUGGAAAACUUACCCAUGCUGCAUCGUUGCUGUCAAAUAUUUAGCUACUGUGAAAAUACUGUGGAUGAUGGUGUUGAACGCAUUAAUGGCAAAUACAUCAGUAUUUCUGUAAUAGCUCUCAUUAAAUCAAAGCAUAGUCUAAGGGAAUAAAAAGCUGUCAGAAAA